GAAACGGAACCAGAAUGCUGCGCUAUUUAUUUUGAUGGUAUUUUAUGAUGAAUUGAAAAUUUUGGUUUAUGAAGAUAAGCUAGAAUUUAUUGGUUUGGCUAUCAGUUUGUAAUUCAGUUUUUGCUGAUUUUUCAUAUUUUUGAAGUAUCGAUAUUACAAAUGGAAUUACAAAUGAAUUUGGUUCUGUUGAUCGACAAAGUUCAGAAUAAAUUUUCCCCAAUUAUCCUGAAAAUGACAAGAGAUUUUUUGUUUUAUCGUGGGAAAUUGUCGAUUGAUUU